rnacentral:lncRNA from 1 species
CCUGUAUCAUGCAUUGGCACAUCACAAGGGGUCAGAAAUAUGUGUCAGAUAAGACGAGUGAGAUUAAACAGGUGGAACGUCAUUGCACAUGCUAUAAGGAAGUGGAACGAAAUGCGGUCACAGUGCAGUGGGACACUGAACAACACACAUUUUCAAGGGAUCACUCAACACUGUCAAUAAGGUCCAAUGGCUCACAUGUUACAUGUCCUGCUUCUGGUGAGCUUAGCAUCUUGGACAGCAUUAUCACUGCCUCAGCCAAGGGUUCAGGGUGAGUAAAAGUAUUUAACCUACGUAUACAGUGAUACUGGUAGAGUAGAUGUUGAUGUUUGCCAUGUAUCCAGUAGUUGGGAUGUGUAAUGGAGUAUAUUUGUGUAUAUUUGUGAAAUGAAUUAUAAUUAUGGAAUUAGAUUUCUUCAUGUUUUUGAUUACAUUGUCUAAAAAAACCUGUUAACUAGUUUGGAAAGCAAGCUGGGAGCCUACAUUUUAUUAUAACCUUUUUGACUUCUAGUGCUGAAAAUGAAAGAUUUACAAAUUAGUUUCAGUGUUUACAGUCAGUUGUCAUAUUGUUACAAGAUGUACUUGGGGUUAGGGUUGGAGUAGUAACAUGUAGAUAAAUGUGCUUGAGAAAUAUGUGUUGAAAGGAGCAGAAUAUAUUUUGUAUAAUGUACUUACAUAAUUAAACUGUAAUGAAAACAUUCCAUUUAAAGUGGGACUAAAUGAUUAAUUAAUAAUCGAUCUUGCAAUUAAUCGCCACCGCGAUCAUGAGAAGCAGUAGAUAGAUAUUUUUGUUUACAUGUUAAGUCUCUAAAUAUAGGCUAUACCAUUUUAGUUCCUUAGUUACAAUUCAGUUCAUUGUAAUCCUUGAGGUAUACAUAAGUUUAAUAAUGUUAUGGCUGUCAGCACUGGUUAAAAUGAUAAAGGAAUUACAUUUGAUCUCACAUUAGAAUGAAUCGUUAAUCAUUAAUAAAAGAGUCGUGAUUGAAUUGAACUGUGACCCA